rnacentral:rRNA from 1 species
ACUGGGCGUAAGGGUGCGUAGGCGGUUGCGCAAGACAGAUGUGANNNNNNGGGCUUAACCUGGGAAUUGCAUUUGUGACUGCGUGNCUAGAGUAUGUCAGAGGGGGGUAGAAUUCCACGUGUAGCAGUGAAAUGCGUAGAUAUGUGGAGGAAUACCGAUGGCGAAGGCAGCCCCCUGGGAUAAUACUGACGCUGAUGCACGAAAGCGUGGGGAGCAAACAGGAUUAGAUACCCUGGUAGUCCACGCCCUAAACGAUGUCAACUAGCUGUUGGGGGCUUCGGCCUUUGGUAGCGCAGCUAACGCGUGAAGUUGACCGCCUGGGGAGUACGGUCGCAAGAUUAAAACUCAAAGGAAUUGACGGGGACCCGCACAAGCGGUGGAUGAUGUGGAUUAAUUCGAUGCAACGCGAAAAACCUUACCUACCCUUGACAUGUCUGGAAUCCCGAAGAGAUUUGGGAGUGCUCGCAAGAGAACCGGAACACA